UGGCCUAUCUCCUUUUCUUGUUGG
rnacentral:siRNA from 1 species